rnacentral:tRNA from 1 species
GCGGAUAUGGCGGAAUUGGCAGACGCGCACGGUUCAGGUCCGUGUGGGUAACACCAUGCAGGUUCAAGUCCUGUUAUCCGUACCA